rnacentral:rRNA from 1 species
AGAACGAACGCUGGCGGCAGGCCUAACACAUGCAAGUCGAACGCCCCGCAAGGGGAGUGGCAGACGGGUGAGUAACGCGUGGGAACCUUCCCUAUGGUUCGGAAUAGCUCAGGGAAACCUGGGGUAAUACCGGAUAAGCCCUUCGGGGGAAAGAUUUAUCGCCAUUGGAUGGGCCCGCGUAGGAUUAGCUAGUUGGUGAGGUAACGGCUCACCAAGGCGACGAUCCUUAGCUGGUCUGAGAGGAUGAUCAGCCACACUGGGACUGAGACACGGCCCAGACUCCUACGGGAGGCAGCAGUGGGGAAUAUUGGACAAUGGGCGAAAGCCUGAUCCAGCCAUGCCGCGUGAGUGACGAAGGCCUUAGGGUGUAAAGCUCUUUUGGCGGGGAAGAGUAAUGACGGUACCCGCGAGAAUAAGCUCCGGCUAACUUCGUGCCAGCAGCCGC